UUUUUCCAUCUCAAACGGUAAUAUCUUUCUACUAAUAGUUUUAAUGCGCCUGUAGGGAAUGAAGACCACAACCCAUACGCCGAAGAAACAAAUGAAUUUGACGAAUUAAGAGCUCUGUCGGAGUUUUUUCUGCUCACAGUUCUGUUAUAAUGCCACAUUUUCCAUCCUAUAUGAAUUAUUCCCUUUUUAAUUAUAGCUCUACAUGUUUCUUUUUGUUCAUUU